rnacentral:sRNA from 1 species
AUAUCUCUCUGUACGGGAAGGAUGAGAAGCUUCGACUAAGGUUCGAUUCGAGCGUCAGCGGAACGCGUUGCCGCAGGCAACGACCCGAAGGGCGAAGCGCGCAGCGCUGAGUCAUCCUUCCCCCACCACCA